rnacentral:rRNA from 1 species
UACGGAGGGUGCGAGCGUUGUCCGGAAUCACUGGGCGUAAAGGGCGCGUAGGUGGCGCGGUGAGUCAACGGUGAAAGCUCGACGCUCAACGUCGAGUCGGCCGUCGAUACUGCCGCGCUGGAGCACUGUAGAGGCUCAUGGAAUUCCGGGUGUAGCGGUGGAAUGCGUAGAGAUCCGGAAGAACACCGGUGGCGAAGGCGGUGAGCUGGGCAGUAGCUGACACUGAGGCGCGACAGCGUGGGGAGCAAACAGG